CGCAGGGGUAGAGGAGUUUGA
rnacentral:misc_RNA from 1 species